GACGAACGCUGGCGGCGUGCUUAACACAUGCAAGUCGAACGGAAAGGCCCUGCUUUUGUGGGGUGCUCGAGUGGCGAACGGGUGAGUAACACGUGAGUAACCUGCCCUUGACUUUGGGAUAACUUCAGGAAACUGGGGCUAAUACCGGAUAUGAGCUCCUGCUGCAUGGUGGGGGUUGGAAAGUUUCGGCGGUUGGGGAUGGACUCGCGGCUUAUCAGCUUGUUGGUGUGGUAGUGGCUUACCAAGGCUUUGACGGGUAGCCGGCCUGAGAGGGUGACCGGCCACAUUGGGACUGAGAGACGGCCCAGACUCCUACGGGAGGCAGCAGUGGGGAAUAUUGCACAAUGGGCGGAAGCCUGAUGCAGCAACGCCGCGUGCGGGAUGACGGCCUUCGGGUUGUAAACCGCUUUCGCCUGUGACGAAGCGUGAGUGACGGUAAUGGGUAAAGAAGCACCGGCUAACUACGUG
rnacentral:rRNA from 1 species